rnacentral:tRNA from 1 species
UGGGUUAUGCUCAGUGGCAGAGCAUCUGCCUAGCAUGCACAAGGCCUCGGGUUCAAUUCCUGAUACCUUGA